UAACCCUAAUUUUAUCCUCAUUCUAAAAUGGCGCUGCUCCUCUCUCUCUCGCCUCCCUUGCCACUAACCAUUGCCGCCUCUCGCCGUUAACCUCCACCGGCUCCUGCGAAUCUUCUUGUCAAGGUAAGAUGUGGCUGUUUCUUCUCGCUUUGGUAUCUUUGUUGUUCGAUUCAUGAAUUUCGCACCAUCUGAUGAAGAUGCAGGCAAUGUAGGAGAAGAUGAAGAUAUAGAAGGAGAAAACGGAGGAUCUGCUGAAGGAGAAGGACGAGAUCUUGAUGAAGAAGGAAAAGGAACUCGAGACGAGGGAUGUUGAGUAGGAGAAGCUUAACGCGGAGCUGAAAAAACACUGCAGAAGAUGAAGGAAUUCAAGCCUCAUAUGGUGCAAAAUCUUCUGCAGCAAAUGGGUGCAAGUUACUAUCAGAUAAACGACCAGCUAGAUACAGCAUGCAAGUUACUAUCAGACUAAGACGGAUCCAUCAACAGGGACCUGCAGAUUUCCGAUUAUGAUAGAGCCUUAUUACGGUGGGGCUGUUCACGGACAAGUGUUCUUCAUGCCACUGCUGCUUGCCACAGCCAUCACCAUGCUGUCUAUUUUUUUAUGGUUUCUUGUCAAUUUGUAACUCUUAUGUGUGAUGGUGUUUUUACUUUUCUUGAAUUCUAGUUUCCCCUCCUUUAGAACAAGUGAACAUAGUGCAUUUUGAAGGAAUCAAAAUGACCCUAAAGAUGCAAGGCCCAUCUUUAUGUCGUUUCAAAUCUGGUAAUUAUGGUACUAACAUUCUGAAUAAGAAUUUUGUCUGAUGUUUAGCACA